rnacentral:rRNA from 1 species
UACGUAGGAUGCAAGUGUUAUCCGGAAUCACUGGGCGUAAAGCGUCUGUAGGUGGUUCGAAAAGUCCACUGUUAAAAAUUGAGGCUUAACUUCAAAGAUGCCGUGGAAACUUUCAAACUAGAGUAUGGUAGGGGUAGAGGGAAUUUCCAGUGGAGCGGUGAAAUGCGUAGAUAUUGGAAAGACCACCGAUGGCGAAGGCACUCUACUGGGCCAUUACUGACACUGAGAGACGAAAGCUAGGGGAGCAAAUGGG